GGGUUUUCUCCUUAGAUCUUGAACUUUGGUGUGGAAUCCUGGCUUUACUUCGGUCACUGAAAAUCAGUCCAGUUGACUUCAGAGAGAUUCAGAAACUGACAUCCGCUGACUGGAUCUGCCUAGGGUGAAGAAGAACACACAACACUUAAAUACAAAGCUUCUUCCUCUAAGUAA